UCCCUUAUAGGAUGACAUCACUCCCAGCUCAGCACUGAUUGGCUGAAAGCUGCCAGAGAAGGUGACUUAACGGCUCAGGCACAAGUGACAGGUAUUUCAUUUCUGGAUUCAGAGUGAAAUACGAGUGAUUCCUAGUGAUUCUCUACGAUUCCUAGUGAUUCUCAGCGAUUCCCAGGAGCAGAAGGAGAUAAAGAAUAAACACAAAAGUCUUUUUAAAGACUAUCAACUUUCAUCAGGAGCAGAAUAACAACUUGCCCAACCUAUUGUGGGUUAUUUGGAGGAAGGAACAUCAAAGAUGGGCAUGAGUGCAAGUAGCAGGCUUUGCUACCAGUUGCGCUAUGAAAAGGUAAAGGUGCUCACAGCUAAUUUCC